rnacentral:pre_miRNA from 1 species
UCUUAUGGGUGAGCAAAGAAAGUGGUUUCUUGAGAUAGAAUCUUCUCCUGGUGCAGAUGCUAUGAA